GGGUUGUGAGGUUAAGCGACUAAGCGUACACGGUGGAUGCCCUGGCAGUCAGAGGCGAUGAAGGGCGUGCUAAUCUGCGAUAAGCGCCGGUAAGGUGAUAUGAACCGUUAUAACCGGCGAUACCCGAAUGGGGAAACCCAGUGUGACUCGUCACACUAUCAUUAACUGAAUCCAUAGGUUAAUGAGGCGAACCGGGGGAACUGAAACAUCUAAGUACCCCGAGGAAAAGAAAUCAACCGAGAUUCCCCCAGUAGCGGCGAGCGAACGGGGAGGAGCCCAGAGCCUGAAUCAGCAUGUGUGUUAGUGGAAGCGUCUGGAAAGGCGCGCGAUACAGGGUGACAGCCCCGUACACAAAAGCGCAUGUGCUGUGAGCUCGAUGAGUAGGGCGGGACACGUGGUAUCCUGUCUGAAUAUGGGGGGACCAUCCUCCAAGGCUAAAUACUCCUGACUGACCGAUAGUGAACCAGUACCGUGAGGGAAAGGCGAAAAGAACCCCGGCGAGGGGAGUGAAAAAGAACCUGAAACCGUGUACGUACAAGCAGUGGGAGCACAGGUUUACCUGUGUGACUGCGUACCUUUUGUAUAAUGGGUCAGCGACUUAUAUUCUGUAGCAAGGUUAACCGAAUAGGGGAGCCGGAGGGAAACCGAGUCUUAAUUGGGCGUUAAGUUGCAGGGUAUAGACCCGAAACCCGGUGAUCUAGCCAUGGGCAGGUUGAAGGUUGGGUAACACUAACUGGAGGACCGAACCGACUAAUGUUGAAAAAUUAGCGGAUGACCUGUGGCUGGGGGUGAAAGGCCAAUCAAACCGGGAGAUAGCUGGUUCUCCCCGAAAGCUAUUUAGGUAGCGCCUCGUGAAUUCAUCUCCGGGGGUAGAGCACUGUUUCGGCUAGGGGGCCAUCCCGGCUUACCAACCCGAUGCAAACUGCGAAUACCGGAGAAUGUUAUCACGGGAGACACACGGCGGGUGCUAACGUCCGUCGUGAAGAGGGAAACAACCCAGACCGCCAGCUAAGGUCCCAAAGUCAUGGUUAAGUGGGAAACGAUGUGGGAAGGCCCAGACAGCCAGGAUGUUGGCUUAGAAGCAGCCAUCAUUUAAAGAAAGCGUAAUAGCUCACUGGUCGAGUCGGCCUGCGCGGAAGAUGUAACGGGGCUAAACCAUGCACCGAAGCUGCGGCAGC
rnacentral:rRNA from 1 species